CUACGGGGGGCAGCAGUGAGGAAUUUUGCGCAAUGGGGGAAACCCUGACGCAGCAACGCCGCGUGAGUGAAGAAGGCCCUUGGGUCGUAAAGCUCUGUCAAUGGGGAAGAAGUUAUUAUGUGUUAAUAGCACAUUUUAUUGACGGUACCCAUGAAGGAAGCACCGGUUAACUCCGUGCCAGCAGCCGCGGUAAUACGGGGGGUGCAAGCGUUAUUCGGAAUUAUUGGGCGUAAAGGGCACGCAGGCGGUCCUGUCAGUCAGAUGUGAAAGCCCGGGGCUCAACCCCGGACGUGCAUUUGAAACAGCAGGACUUGAGUACGGGAGAGGAAAGGGGAAUUCCUGGUGUAGAGGUGAAAUUCGUAGAUAUCAGGAGGAACACCGGUGGCGAAGGCGCCUUUCUGGACCGAUACUGACGCUGAGGUGCGAAGGCGUGGGUAGCGAACGGGAUUAGAUACCCCUGUAGUC
rnacentral:rRNA from 1 species